rnacentral:rRNA from 1 species
AUGCUGGAACAAGGGGCGAAUCUGCUACAAAGAAUGGCUCUGGACGAGUCUGUCUUGGCACGAGGUAGGGAUGCCCUCCGGCUGGAAGAUGGUGGAGAUAACAGGAUGCUGCUAGGAAUGUGGAUGAUGCAAUGGCGGAGGAUGCUGAAUAGUAGAACAAUGCUUGAUUCAAUGAGAGUAGCAUAUAUUAGAGCACCUACGGCUACGUGUGCCUUUUUGCCGCCAUAUAUGAAGGCGUUGAACAGUAAUGCAUGGGGUUCCUCCCCAUGGCUGUCCCUGUUGGGUUGUGGGCGUUUUCCUUUUGGUAUCUCUUGCAGCUGCAUCCUCUUGCUAGCGUGCAUGCGGCGGUUAGGUCAGCGUAUUGAGAAUUGCCUCGCUAAAUAUAUUGAUGUACAACGUCUUGCUAAUAGCACGUUAUAG